AAAAAGAUGCAAUUCAAGUGUUUAAGAAGAUUAUCGAGUUUUUAUUACAUCAAGGGCCGACAUUAUGAUUCAUUCUUGUUUGUGUACUACGUAAAUGGCGGUUGAUCUACUUGCUCUCCGCUGGAUCUCAUGGCAGCACUGGCGACAUACGUCAGGAGUCUAUUUUCAUCUCUGGCUGCAAAGAUGUGGAAGAAGGAAGAGAAAAAGGCAGCAAGAUGGUCCAAAUGCAAAGAAACCAGUUCUCUCUUAAUUACCCAUAACAAGCGGAUCCACACAGCUGAGAAUGCUGCAUGCCAAUGCGUUUAAGUGCUAAUUCCUCUGUGGCUCUGCUAUAUUCCAGCAGGAACUCUCAGAGGGAUUUGUCACAGCCCUUGUACUCUCAUUCUGGCUUUCAUUGUUGUAGAUUUUGCAUAACACAUGUAAAUUAAUUUAAAAUGUGGUUCCUUUCUGUUGUAAUAUCUUCAGAUCUUUAAAAGGCAUGCCCUUGCCUAUAUAAUUUAUUUUAUGAGAUUCAGGGGU